rnacentral:rRNA from 1 species
GACGAACGCUGGCGGCAUGCCUUGCACAUGCAAGUCGAACGGCAGCACGGGUGCUUGCACCUGGUGGCGAGUGGCGAACGGAUGAGUAAUACAUCGGAACGUACCUUAUCGUGGGGGAUAACGCAGCGAAAGCUGUGCUAAUACCGCAUACGCCCUGAGGGGGAAAGCGGGGGAUCGCAAGACCUCGCGCGAUUAGAGCGGCCGAUGCCUGAUUAGCUUGUUGGUGGGGUAAAAGCCCACCAAGGCGACGAUCAGUAGCUGGUCUGAGAGGACGGUCAGCCAGACUGGGACUGAGACACGGCCCAGACUCCUACGGGAGGCAGCAGUGGGGAAUUUUGGACAAUGGGGGCAACCCUGAUCCAGCAAUGCCGCGUGAGUGAAGAAGGCCUUCGGGUUGUAAAGCUCUUUUGUCAGGGAAGAAACACCGGCUCUAACACAGUCCGGGAAUGACGGUACCUGAAGAAUAAGCACCGGCUAACUACGUGCCAGCCGCCGCCGUAA